rnacentral:rRNA from 1 species
AGUCGACGAUGAUGCCCAGCUUGCUGGGCGGAUUAGUGGCGAACGGGUGAGUAAUACGUGAGUAACCUGCCCUUGACUCUGGGAUAAGCCUGGGAAACUGGGUCUAAUACUGGAUACUACCUCUUACCGCAUGGUGGGUGGUGGAAAGGGUUUUACUGGUUUUGGAUGGGCUCACGGCCUAUCAGCUUGUUGGUGGGGUAAUGGCUCACCAAGGCGACGACGGGUAGCCGGCCUGAGAGGGUGACCGGCCACACUGGGACUGAGACACGGCCCAGACUCCUACGGGAGGCAGCAGUGGGGAAUAUUGCACAAUGGGCGGAAGCCUGAUGCAGCGACGCCGCGUGAGGGAUGACGGCCUUCGGGUUGUAAACCUCUUUCAGUAGGGAAGAAGCGAGAGUGACGGUACCUGCAGAAGAAGCGCCGGCUAACUACGUGCCAGCAGCCGCGGUAAUACGUAGGGCGCAAGCGUUGUCCGGAAUUAUUGGGCGUAAAGAGCUCGUAGGCGGUUUGUCGCGUCUGCUGUGAAAGCCCGGGGCUCAACCCCGGGUCUGCAGUGGGUACGGGCAGACUAGAGUGCAGUAGGGGAGACUGGAAUUCCUGGUGUAGCGGUGAAAUGCGCAGAUAUCAGGAGGAACACCGAUGGCGAAGGCAGGUCUCUGGGCUGUUACUGACGCUGAGGAGCGAAAGCAUGGGGAGCGAACAGGAUU